rnacentral:tRNA from 1 species
GGAAGUGUUGCUGAGUGGUUGAA